GUAGACGUUAGCUCAGUGGUUAGAGCACAGGCCUCUGGCUCUCGGGUCAGCGAGUUCGAGUCCCGUCGUCUACU
rnacentral:tRNA from 1 species